GGCUCUUUGGGUUUAAAAUAUGAAGAGUCGAGCCUGCCCAGUGAAAAAAAAUUAAACGGCCGCGGUACUCUGACCGUGCAAAGGUAGCAUAAUCAUUUGCCCUAUAAUUGAGGGCUUGUAUGAAUGGUUUGUCAUAAGCAUAGCUGUCUCAACAAAAUUUUAUAAAAUUUGGUUUUUAGGUGAAGAAACCUAAAUAUUAUUGAAAGACAAGAAGACCCUAUCGAGCUUAAGAAAAAUUAGCUAACAUGUUAGCUAAAAACUUUGGUUGGGGCGACUAAGGAACAGUUAAAGCUUCUUUGAUAAACUUAGUACCUAUAAGUGUUGAUCCAAAAAAAUUUGAUUAGUAAAAUUAGUUACCGUAGGGAUAACAGCAUAAUCCUUUUUGAGAGUACAUAUCGAAAAAAGGGUUUGUGACCUCGAUGUUGGACUAGGGUAUCAUAAAGAUGUAGAAGUCUUUGAGAGUUAGUCUGUUCGACUAUUAAAACCCU
rnacentral:rRNA from 1 species